rnacentral:rRNA from 1 species
GGGAUUAGAUACCCCACUAUGCCAUGAAGUAAACCACGACAUCUGUCCGCCAGAAAAUUACGAGCAAGUCUUCAGCCUAAAACUCAAAAGACUUGACGGUGUCCUAAUCUACCUAGAGGAGCCUGUUCCAUAAUCGAUAAUCCACGAUCAACCUCACCACUUCUAGAACUUAUAUCAGCCUAUAUACCGCCGUCACCAGCUUACCUUUUAAAAGCUCUAAAGUAAGCACAAUAGUAUUUUACUUAUACGUCAGGUCAAGGUGUAGCCCACGAAGUGGAGUGAAUGGGCUACAUUAUCUGCCACAGAUUACCCACGAACUAUCUUUUGACAAAAUCAUAUAAAGGCGGAUUUAGCAGUAAACUAAGCAAGACCACUUAGUUUAAUAUGUGCUCUAGGACAUGUACACACCGCCCGUCACCC